UAUUUGGUUUUUACAUGUUUUUGCCCAUUUUUUCUGGUGUGAAUUUUUUUAAUUAAAUUCCUUUGAUUUUAAUGUUUAGUUUCGAAAUAGAUGAUUUGUUAAAAGAAUAUUGUAGGAAUAGAAACUAAGAAAAUUUUCAAUCUGGGUACGAUUUAUAUCAUGAAGUGCAGGAACAGAUUAAAACAUGACACUGCUCAUACUUUGAACCCAUUCUGGAUGACUCCAUGCAAGCCUUGAACAUCCAUGCCUGUAGAGGUAACAUUAUAAAAGAAUGGUGGCUGCAUGCUGUUCAUGAAAUCCACAACAUGAGAGAUAACAAGUGAAACCUGUCCAAGAUAACCCUAGAAUGAGUCUGUCAUUCCUGCUUUGGAAUCGGAGAAGUAGCCAAAUCCUUGAUCCCACCUCAGCCAUACGUGUGGAGAAAGCUUUAAUGCCCAGGGGAAUCAGCAGAGAAAUUAGACAAGUUAAUGCAAGGCCAUGCAACUUUCCAUCAUGAGAAAAGUGGUACGCUGACCAGAUUGGACUGUUGUACUCCUGUGGGAAGAGAAGCAAUGAGUGCUGCUUUCUGAGUGUGAUACACAGGCACUAAAUAAUUUGUGCUCUCUUUGGAGUUCAUUUGGACAUCUCCUAGUUCUAUUUUUUCAAAUCAAUCAGUUUUCAUCACUGAAAAACACAGAAAGAGGUAUAAUGAUUCAAUAUAAGAUAAUGAUGGAAAAGAGUGAUCUAUGAUUUUCAAAGUUAUCAGGAGUGAAAAUUACACAUCGAUAAUGAUUUUUAAGGCAUCAAAAGGUGUACAGAUGAAUGUAGACUCUGAAAGCAAGGGGAGUAGUGCAUGAUGAGAAAAUAAUUUUUAAAGUGGAUCAAUUAGAAAGAAAUAUAAAACUGGGGAAUAUUGUUGGGAUCAUAAGUUAUCACACAAUGUUGUAGGAGAGAGAAUGUAUGCAGCAGCCAUCUGUUGCCAGCCAGAUGUUAGAAACUCUGAAACAUCUUCACCACCAAAAGUCAAGGAGCAUUUAUUAUAGCGAAAAAGUCACUUUGCCUGAACAAAGCAAGUUUUGCC